CGGACAACCAGGUAGAGCCUCAGGUCUGGCCUUGAGUUGGUGUGGCCUCUCACCUGUGACCUCUCUGCUCACCUAGUUUCCUGUGUGAAGCAUGCAUGGUUGGCCUGGGGCGAAGUUCCACAGAGGUUAACUAAGGCAUGGACUGAGAAGAUAACUUCAUGGCUCAUCUCAUUUCUGUGCAUGCUGUUAGUACUUUCCUGGUCCUCCGUGGCCCUCCUUGGGAUUGGAUAUCUGAGCUGUCAGGAGGAAUGCCCUUUGAGCCUGGACUUCAGUGAGUCACAGAGAGAGAGACUUCCUGCUGGACUGAUCUUCUGAGACAAAGU
rnacentral:lncRNA from 1 species